rnacentral:rRNA from 1 species
UGGGGGAAAAUUAAUAUAAUAAAAUAAAUAAUAAAAAUAAUUAUAAAAAAUAAUUAAUGGGGGUUAAAGUAUUUUUUAGAAAAAAUUUAUUAAUUUAUAGUUUAAUAGUAUUGUGAAAGAAUUUUGAAAUAAAGUUAAAUAUGGAUUAUUAUUUAAGUAAAUUUAAUUUAUUGUAUCUUGUGUAUCAGAGUUUAUUAAUAAAAUAUUUUUAAAUAAAAAUAUCUCGAAUUUAAAAGAGAUAGUUAAUUAUUAAAGUUAAUGUGACAUAAUUAUUUUAAAUAAUUAAUUUGAAAUGAAAUGUUAAUCGUUUUUAAAAAUAUCUAGUUUUUUUAGAAAAAAAUUUAAUUUUAAAUUAAUUUAAUAAUUUUUUAAAUUUGUUAUAUAAAAUUAUAUAUUUAAUUAAAUAUUUUAAGGGAUAAGCUUUAAAUUAAAUUUUUAUAAUAUCAAUAAAUUAUUUAAAUAUUUUAAAAUUUAUAUUUUUUAUAAAUUAUAAUUUUUUAUAAAUAAUUUUAUUUAUUUUAAAAUUUAAAUUUAUAUUUAAAUUUAUAUAAAAAAAUAAUUUUUAAUAAUAAAAAAUUAGUUAUAAUUAUAAAAUUAGUAUAUAAAAAAAAAAAUAAAAUAAAAUUAAUUAAAAUUAAUAAAAAGGAAUUCGGCAAAAAU